CCUACGGGAGGCAGCAGUGGGGAAUAUUGCACAAUGGGCGAAAGCCUGAUGCAGCGACGCCGCGUGAGGGAUGACGGCCUUCGGGUUGUAAACCUCUUUCAGUAGGGAAGAAGCGUAAGUGACGGUACCUGCAGAAGAAGCGCCGGCUAACUACGUGCCAGCAGCCGCGGUAAUACGUAGGGCGCAAGCGUUAUCCGGAAUUAUUGGGCGUAAAGAGCUCGUAGGCGGUUUGUCGCGUCUGCCGUGAAAGUCCGGGGCUCAACUCCGGAUCUGCGGUGGGUACGGGCAGACUAGAGUGAUGUAGGGGAGACUGGAAUUCCUGGUGUAGCGGUGAAAUGCGCAGAUAUCAGGAGGAACACCGAUGGCGAAGGCAGGUCUCUGGGCAUUAACUGACGCUGAGGAGCGAAAGCAUGGGGAGCGAACAGGAUUAGAUACCCUGGUAGUCCAUGCCGUAAACGUUGGGCACUAGGUGUGGGGGACAUUCCACGUUUUCCGCGCCGUAGCUAACGCAUUAAGUGCCCCGCCUGGGGAGUACGGCCGCAAGGCUAAAACUCAAAGGAAUUGACGG
rnacentral:rRNA from 1 species